rnacentral:rRNA from 1 species
GGAGGUCCGAACCCACGAGCGUUGAAAAGCUCGGGGAUGACUUGUGGGUAGCGGUGAAAUUCCAAUCGAGCCCGGAGAUAGCUGGUUCUCCCCGAAAUAGCUUUAGGGCUAGCCUCAAGGUGAGAGAUACGGAGGUAGAGCACUGAAUGUCCUAGGGGGUAUUGCACCUACCGAAGACUAUCAAACUCCGAAUGCCGUCAUCUUAUACUUGGGAGUCAGACUGUGGGUGAUAAGAUUCAUAGUCGAAAGGGCAACAGCCCAGAUCGUCAGCUAAGGUCCCUAAAUGUAAGUUAAGUGGUAAAGGAUGUGGGAUUGCACAGACAACCAGGAUGUUGGCUUAGAAGCAGCCACUCAUUCAAAGAGUGCGUAAUAGCUCACUGGUCGAGUGAUCCUGCGCCGAAGAUUUCCGGGGCUAAAACUUACUACCGAAGCUACGGCAUCAGUAAUGAUGGGUAGGGGAGCUUCCCAUACGGGUUGAAGCAUGACCGUAAGGACAUGUGGACAGUAUGGGAGUGAGAAUGUUGGCAUGAGUAGCGAGAUGUGGGUGAGAAUCCCACAGGCCGUAAACCCAAGGUUUCCAGGGGAAGGUUCGUCCGCCCUGGGUUAGUCGGGACCUAAGCUGAGGCCGAAAGGCGGAGGUGAUGGACAACAGGUUGAUAUUCCUGUACUACCGAUAACCGUUUGAGAGAAGGGAUGACACAGUAGGAUAAGCUAAGCACACUGUUGGUUAUGUGUGCCCAAGCAUUGAGGCAGUCAAAGUAGGCAAAUCCGCUUUGAUAAUGCUGGGAUGUGAUGGGGAGCGAAAUUUAGUAGCGAAGUAGCUGAUUUCACACUGUCAAGAAAAGUCUCUAUCGAGGUUAAAGGUACCCGUACCGCAAACCGACACAGGUGGGUGAGGAGAGUAUCCUAAGGCCA